AAUCUUCGGACACUGAUUCUCCAAAAUUAUAGAGUGGGUGAUACCACUGCACUUGGAGGACUAAAGUCGCUAGAAAUUCUUAGCUUCAAAGGAAGUAUAUUUACAGAGCCUGCAAAUGCAAUAAGUAAGUUGACUAGCCUAAAGUUGCUGGAUUUGGAAGAGUGUUCCCAUCAUUCUCACAUGGAUUCUAUAUUACCUUCCAAUGUCAUAGCCAGAUUAUCCAGAGUGCAAGAGUUGUACAUGUGGAUGAUGUCUCCUAGAAGAUUAUUUUCUGUAAAGCCCUUUAUGAGUUUUAAUAUAACUGAGUUGAAACCCCUCGCUCGCUUGACUGCCUUUACAAUGAUGAUAGUGAAUUUUGAAAACAUACCUGAAGGCUUCUGUUUUCCUGAUUUGGAGGUUUUCAAAAUA
rnacentral:misc_RNA from 1 species